rnacentral:rRNA from 1 species
GGCGUAAUGAUGGCCAGGCUGUCUCCACCCGAGACUCAGUGAAAUUGAACUCGCUGUGAAGAUGCAGUGUACCCGCGGCAAGACGGAAAGACCCCGUGAACCUUUACUAUAGCUUGACACUGAACAUUGAGCCUUGAUGUGUAGGAUAGGUGGGAGGCUUUGAAGUGUGGACGCCAGUCUGCAUGGAGCCGACCUUGAAAUACCACCCUUUAAUGUUUGAUGUUCUAACGUGGGCCCCUUACCGGGGUUGCGGACAGUGUCUGGUGGGUAGUUUGACUGGGGCGGUCUCCUCCUAAAGAGUAACGGAGGAGCACGAAGGUUGGCUAAUCCUGGUCGGACAUCAGGAGGUUAGUGCAAUGGCAUAAGCCAGCUUGACUGCGAGCGUGACGGCGCGAGCAGGUGCGAAAGCAGGUCAUAGUGAUCCGGUGGUUCUGAAUGGAAGGGCCAUCGCUCAACGGAUAAAAGGUACUCCGGGGAUAACAGGCUGAUACCGCCCAAGAGUUCAUAUCGACGGCGGUGUUUGGCACCUCGAUGUCGGCUCAUCACAUCCUGGGGCUGAAGUAGGUCCCAAGGGUAUGGCUGUUCGCCAUUUAAAGUGGUACGCGAGCUGGGUUUAGAACGUCGUGAGACAGUUCGGUCCCUAUCUGCCGUGGGCGCUGGAGAACUGAGGGGGGCUGCUCCUAGUACGAGAGGACCGGAGUGGACGCAUCACUGGUGUUCGGGUUGUCAUGCCAAUGGCACUGCCCGGUAGCUAAAUGCGGAAGAGAUAAGUGCUGAAAGCAUCUAAGCACGAAACUUGCCCCGAGAUGAGUUCUCCCUGACUCCUUGAGAGUCCUGAAGGAACGUUGAAGACGACGACGUUGAUAGGCCGGGUGUGUAAGCGCAGCGAUGCGUUGAGCUAACCGGUACUAAUGAACCGUGAGGCUUAACCUU